AGCAGCCGCGGUAAUUCCAGCUCCAAUAGCGUAUAUUAAAGUUGUUGCAGUUAAAAAGCUCGUAGUUGAAUUUCGGGAUCAAAUUGUCGGUCGUGCCUCGGUACGUACUGGCGUUAUUGGUUCCUCCCUUCUGAAGAACCGCGAUGUCAUUAAUUUGGUGUCGCGGGGAAUCAGGACUGUUACUUUGAAAAAAUUAGAGUGUUUAAAGCAGGCUCGCGCUUGAAUACAUUAGCAUGGAAUAAUGAAAUAGGACGUUUGAUUCUAUUUUGUUGGUUUCUAGGAUCGACGUAAUGAUUAAUAGGGAUAGUUGGGGGCAUUAGUAUUCAAUUGUCAGAGGUGAAAUUCUUGGAUUUAUUGAAGACUAACUACUGCGAAAGCAUUUGCCAAGGAUGUUUUCAUUAAUCAAGAACGAAAGUUAGGGGAUCGAAGACGAUCAGAUACCGUCGUAGUCUUAACCAUAAACUAUGCCGACUAGGGAUCGGAUGAUGUUAAUUUUUUAAUGUACUCAUUCGGCGCCUUA
rnacentral:rRNA from 1 species